AUUUAACUUGUGUGUGUUCCAGGUAUCAUUAUAAUCACAGACGGAGUGACUAGUGUUCCGGAUGUAGCUGUGUGUGAAACACUGCUGAACCAGCUCAGGAGUGGAACCAUUGCCUGCUCCUUUGUGCAGGUUGGUGGUGCGUACUCCUACGACUGCAGCUUUGGCUACAUCCCCAAUGUAGAGCUGAUGAAGUUCAUCUCAUUAGCUACAUUUGGUUCAUACCUGCCCAGCUGUCCUGAAGUGGACGUGAACAACCAGGAGAUGAAUGUGUACCACAAGGCCUUCUUAACCUACUCCUUCCUUAAGACCCCGGAGUCUAUGAACUCAGAGUACUUCUGUGUUUCCCAGCACAAACUGUUCAAUGAGCACCUGGUGUCAGCCAGCGGUAACCCCGCCCUGGUCAUGAGGAGGAAGAAGCACACAGAGAAGGAAGUCCAUGCCCAUUUAAUCAGCGUGGUGUCUGUGCGA